rnacentral:rRNA from 1 species
UACGUAGGGUGCGAGCGUUAAUCGGAAUUACUGGGCGUAAAGCGUGCGCAGGCGGUUCGACAAGUCCGAUGUGAAAGCCCCGGGCUCAACCUGGGAAUGGCAUUGGAAACUGGCGAGCUUGAGUGUGGCAGAGGGGGGUGGAAUUCCGCGUGUAGCAGUGAAAUGCGUAGAUAUCGUAAGGAAGACCAGUGGCGAAGGCGAAUCUCUGGACAGUUACUGACGCUGAGGCACGAAGGCCAGGGGAGCAAACGGG